CGGGACAAAAGCGAUGUGCUGGCACCUGUGUUUAACUCUAUUAUAAUGCGUGCUGAAGGUUGUGGCACUAAUGUCAGUGACCUGUGUGGCCCAUCCAUCAAGACAUGCGUGUGUGCUGACAGCGCGGUGCGUCUGGGGCCUCGCAGGAUUCUGCUCGGGCUGCAGCGCGGAGCAGAGCGAUGAGAGACGUCGCUCUAACCCCGCCUGCAGUCCGACACCAUUACCCCUGUGACUUAUGGAGGAUCGGCCCUGACUGAACACUGUUGUUCCCCCUGGUGGGCAGCUCGGCGGACACAGCCCUUCACGUUCUGUUAGCGUGCUCAUGGCUCUAGUGGAAGAACGGGGCUCUCUUUUGUUCCUCCAUCUUCACAGCCAUGGCGAGCUCAUCAGUCUUCCCUGUCUGGCUACAGGGGUUGGCUGUUUCAGCAGGCAUUAGGCUACAGUGCAAGGCUUUGCUCAGUCUGAGUGAAAGUGGUGGUGGGUCUGGAGCCUACAUGGAAACACUGGACACAAAGCAGGAAUGACUCCUGGACAUGUGCCCACAGGGCGGCUGGCCGGAUCACUGAUCUGCAGAUGCCUCAGAGGAGCGAGUGACUCACAGACCCGGCUCAUUUCUCCUAGCCUGACACCAAAUCAGUCCAGUGCACCUCCUCACAAGGACACCAGGAGACAGGCCUGCCUUCAGGAGAUGGGAUUAAGGUAGCGUGACAAUCGUGGAUUAAAGACACUUUCAGCCAAUCCCACCGCACUCACAGGGUCGUGGGUCAGGGUUCUGGAGUCAUAUGAUGCAAUGCAGAAAUCCAUGGAGGACAAGAUACCAGUCCAUUACAGGACACCACACAAAAGGCCCUCAUGAAGUUUAGUUUAGUAAGUUUCAGUAAUAUUCAGUUUACUAAAACUGUUUUACCAUUUUUUUCAUUUUGAUGUAAUUGUGAGGAAACUGAAUAAAGGUUUUAAGGACCAUAAUCA
rnacentral:lncRNA from 1 species